rnacentral:rRNA from 1 species
AGUGAACGCUGGCGGUAGGCCUAACACAUGCAAGUCGAACGGCAGCACAGUAAGAGCUUGCUCUUACGGGUGGCGAGUGGCGGACGGGUGAGGAAUACAUCGGAAUCUACUUUUUCGUGGGGGAUAACGUAGGGAAACUUACGCUAAUACCGCAUACGACCUACGGGUGAAAGCAGGGGAUCUUCUGACCUUGCGCGAUUGAAUGAGCCGAUGUCGGAUUAGCUAGUUGGCGGGGUAAAGGCCCACCAAGGCGACGAUCCGUAGCUGGUCUGAGAGGAUGAUCAGCCACACUGGAACGGAGACACGGUCCAGACUCCUACGGGAGGCAGCAGUGGGGAAUAUUGGACAAUGGGCGGAAGCCUGAUCCAGCCAGACCGCGUGGGUGAAGAAGGCCUUCGGGUUGUAAAGCCCUUUUGUUGGGAAAGAAAAGCAGCAGGUUGAUACCCCGCUGUUCUGACGGUACCCAAAGAAUAAGCACCGGCUAACUUCGUG